AAAAGCCAAGGCAGCCACAGCCGGAAUGAAAAUUUCUGCCCUAUCAACUUUCGAWGGUAGGAUAGUGGCCUACCAUGGUUUCAACGGGUAACGGGGAAUAAGGGUUCGAUUCCGGAGAGGGAGCCUGAGAAACGGCUACCACAUCCAAGGAAGGCAGCAGGCGCGCAAAUUACCCAAUCCUAAUUCAGGGAGGUAGUGACAAUAUGUAACGAUACAGGGCCCAUUCGGGUCUUGUAAUUGGAAUGAGUACAAUGUAAAUACCUUAACGAGGAACAAUUGGAGGGCAAGUCUGGUGCCAGCAGCCGCGGUAAUUCCAGCUCCAAUAGCGUAUAUUAAAGUUGUUGCAGUUAAAAAGCUCGUAGUUGAACUUUGGGCUUGGCUGGCCGGUCCGAUUUUUUUCGUGUACUGGAUCCAGCCGAGCCUUUCCUUCUGGCUAACCUUGGGUCACUUGUGGCCCUUGGCGAACCAGGACUUUUACUUUGAAAAAAUUAGAGUGUUCAAAGCAGGCGAUUGCUCGAAUAUAUUAGCAUGGAAUAAUAGAAUAGGACGUUUGGUUCUAUUUUGUUGGUUUCUAGGACCAUCGUAAUGAUUAAUAGGGACGGUCGGGGGCAUCAGUAUUCAAUUGUCAGAGGUGAAAUUCUUGGAUUUAUUGAAGACUAACUACUGCGAAASAUUUUGCCAAGGACGUUUUCAUUAAUCAAGAACGAAAGUUAGGGGAUCGAAGAUGAUCAGAUACCGUCGUAGUCUUAACCAUAAACUAUGCCGACUAGGGAUCGGGUGGUGUUUUUUUAAUGACCCACUCGGCACCUUACGAGAAAUCAAAGUCUUUGGGGUUCUGGGGGGGAGUAUGGUCGCAAGGCUGAAACUUAAAGGAAUUGACGGAAGGGCACACCAGGAGUGGAGCCUGCGCUUAAUUUGACUCACACGGGGAACUCACAGGUCAGACACAAUAAGGAUKACAGAUUGAGA
rnacentral:rRNA from 1 species